UGUACACCCGUGCGAGAGGACGCGGGAAUACGGAGGGUGCAAGAGUUAAUCAGAAUUACUGGGCGUAAAGCGUGCGCAGGCGGCUUAUUAAGUCAGAUGUGAAAUCCCUAGGCUCAACCUAGGAACUGCAUUUGAAACUAAUAAACUAGAGUAUCGUAGAGGGAGGUAGAAUUCCAGGUGUAGCGGUGAAAUGCGUAGAUAUCUGGAGGAAUACCAGUGGCGAAGGCGACCUCCUGGACGAAAACUGACGCUCAAGCACGAAAGCAUGGGGAGCAAACAGGAUUAGAUACCCGUGUAGUC
rnacentral:rRNA from 1 species